ACUCCUACGGGAGGCAGCAGUGGGGAAUAUUGCACAAUGGGCGCAAGCCUGAUGCAGCCAUGCCGCGUGUGUGAAGAAGGCCUUCGGGUUGUAAAGCACUUUCAGUCGGUGAGGAAGGUAGUUGUAGUUAAUAGCUGCUAUUAUUUGACGUUUAGCGAACAGAAGAAGCACCGGCUAACUCCGUGCCAGCAGCCGCGGUAAUACGGAGGGUGCGAGCGUUAAUCGGAAUUACUGGGCGUAAAGCGCAUGCAGGUGGCUUUGUUAAGUCAGAUGUGAAAGCCCGGGGC
rnacentral:rRNA from 1 species